rnacentral:rRNA from 1 species
GACGAACGCUGGCGGCGUGCUUAACACAUGCCAGUCGAACGGAAAGGCCCUGCUUUUGUGGGGUGCUCGAGUGGCGAACGGGUGAGUAACACGUGAGUAACCUGCCCUUGACUUUGGGAUAACUUCAGGAAACUGGGGCUAAUACCGGAUAGGAGCUCCUGCUGCAUGGUGGGGGUUGGAAAGUUUCGGCGGUUGGGGAUGGACUCGCGGCUUAUCAGCUUGUUGGUGGGGUAGUGGCUUACCAAGGCUUUGACGGGUAGCCGGCCUGAGAGGGUGACCGGCCACAUUGGGACUGAGAUACGGCCCAGACUCCUACGGGAGGCAGCAGUGGAGAGUAUUGCACAAUGGGCGGAAGCCUGAUGCAGCAACGCCGCGUGCGGGAUGACGGCCUUCGGGUUGUAAACCGCUUUCGCCUGUGACGAAGCGUGAGUGACGGUAAUGGGUAAAGAAGCACCGGCUAACUACGUG